CAGAGCUAUUUCUCUUUAUAGACCUCUACCAACGCACUGCAACAAGAAAGUUAGACGCAUAAUGAAAAUGCCUUUUCUACUAAAAGCAUCUAUUAAAAAGGAGGAAGAUGAAACAUGAUAUCUAAUUAAUUAUUUUGUCUUAAUAACCUUUGAUUCCGUUUUUUAAAGUUGGAAAAUGCAAGGCUUAGAAAACUACUGUUUUCUGGAUCCAUGAACUGAAUUGCAUGCUUGGAAAGCAAGUGCAUUAUGACUCCCUUUCAUCUGUAUCUGGGUUGCUCAAGGGCCAGAGGUGGCCAACAGAAGGACAAGUUAACAUUACUCUGUGAGACUUUUUCAGCCCCAUUGAACAAGUAAAUAGGGGAAGUUUUUGAUGAAGAUUUGGCCCUGGCAUGAAGGACAAGGGUCCCACGGAUCUUGGAAACCCUAAUGGACUGGACUGAAGACCUCUUUUUGAGCAGCUCAAGAGAACAACGAAGCCACAGGCCGGUGAGUUUUGGCAACUCUGCCACAAACCAAACCACAGAAGCAUGUAGCCCUCCAACGCACACGAUUAUGGUCGAGGUUGCUUUGUAAGUUGGAACCUGCUCUAACAUUC
ensembl:lncRNA